rnacentral:rRNA from 1 species
GACGAACGCUGGCGGCGUGCUUAACACAUGCAAGUCGAACGGAAAGGCCCUGCUUUUGUGGGUUGCUCGAGUGGCGAACGGGUGAGUAACACGUGAGUAACCUGCCCUUGACUUUGGGAUAACUUCAGGAAACUGGGGCUAAUACCGGAUAGGAGCUCCUGCUGCAUGGUGGGGGUUGGAAAGUUUCGGCGGUUGGGGAUGGACUCGCGGCUUAUCAGCUUGUUGGUGGGGUAGUGGCUUACCAAGGCUUUGACGGGUAGCCGGCCUGAGAGGGCGACCGGCCACAUUGGGACUGAGAUACGGCCCAGACUCCUACGGGAGGCAGCAGUGGGGAAUAUUGCACAAUGGGCGGAAGCCUGAUGCAGCAACGCCGCGUGCGGGAUGACGGCCUUCGGGUUGUAAACCGCUUUCGCCUGUGACGAAGCGUGAGUGACGGUAAUGGGUAAAGAAGCACCGGCUAACUACGUG